UAUCAUGCAAGUCGAGCGAACAGAAGGGAGCUUGCUCCCGGAUGUUAGCGGCGGACGGGUGAGUAACACGUGGGUAACCUGCCUGUAAGACUGGGAUAACUCCGGGAAACCGGAGCUAAUACCGGAUAGUUCCUUGAACCGCAUGGUUCAAGGAUGAAAGACGGUUUCGGCUGUCACUUACAGAUGGACCCGCGGCGCAUUAGCUAGUUGGUGGGGUAAUGGCUCACCAAGGCGACGAUGCGUAGCCGACCUGAGAGGGUGAUCGGCCACACUGGGACUGAGACACGGCCCAGACUCCUACGGGAGGCAGCAGUAGGGAAUCUUCCGCAAUGGACGAAAGUCUGACGGAGCAACGCCGCGUGAGUGAUGAAGGUUUUCGGAUCGUAAAGCUCUGUUGUUAGGGAAGAACAAGUGCGAGAGUAACUGCUCGCACCUUGACGGUACCUAACCAGAAAGCCACGGCUAACUACGUGCCAGCAGCCGCGGUAAUACGUAGGUGGCAAGCGUUGUCCGGAAUUAUUGGGCGUAAAGGGCUCGCAGGCGGUUUCUUAAGUCUGAUGUGAAAGCCCCCGGCUCAACCGGGGAGGGUCAUUGGAAACUGGGAAACUUGAGUGCAGAAGAGGAGAGUGGAAUUCCACGUGUAGCGGUGAAAUGCGUAGAGAUGUGGAGGAACACCAGUGGCGAAGGCGACUCUCUGGUCUGUAACUGACGCUGAGGAGCGAAAGCGUGGGGAGCGAACAGGAUUAGAUACCCUGGUAGUCCACGCCGUAAACGAUGAGUGCUAAGUGUUAGGGGGUUUCCGCCCCUUAGUGCUGCAGCUAACGCAUUAAGCACUCCGC
rnacentral:rRNA from 1 species